UGGUUGUGGUUUUUCUCAGUACUCUGAAGGCAAGGACUCUUUCUAAUCUAUUUUUCCUUUCUCUUCGCAGUCAUUUGAACACAGCAGAUCUUAGUGAUUUGCCCCUUACUUGAGCAAGUAACGUCAAUCCAUAAAAGUGAUUUCUAGAGCAAAGCAGUUGGUGAUGAAGAUCCAAUGUCUGCACCAUAUGAAGAAGCUGUAUUUCUACAAGUUUCAUCUGAAGAGGAUCCAGCUCAUGCCCUUCAAGACCAUGCCAGGAUGACAACCGAACCAUGAUAAAUACUUCACACAAGAAAGUGAAUAGAGUUUCCAGAGGAAAAAGGAUCUUCCCAGGCUCUUUUCUUUGAGGAUAUAUUUUUAAAAUGCAGUAACUGACAUAUGGUGUAAGAAUACUCAGUUCAAAGGAAGAAACAAAACAAGACAGAAAACACAGACUGGUUUCUGUUUUUAUGACUCAGUUACAACAAGCAAUGCUCCUCCAGGUAUAGCAAGGAAAUCAUCCCGACGUUUCCGCAAGUGUGGCACUAGUAUUUUAUAAUGACUUCCUACAAGUCCUUUGUGAUCUUGACCCUCUUUGUCCAUAGCUCUUAUGAAGAUUUGCCUCCUGAUAUUGGACUUGUCAGAUGGUUUUUCUGCUUCCAGAAAGGACUCUUUUUUACUGUCAAGCCCAGCACACUGUCUUUUUCAAAGACCCUCUCCUGGCUGUCUGUCUGGAAGCAUCACCUCAGUGCAAAACAGGCAGGCCGCUGGAUUUAUUUUGGCUCACCUCUCCUUAGCAGGGGCUAAUACCCUGAAGGCAGCAUUACAUGGUGUUAUAACUAGAUGUGUGGACAUGAAAUUCUGAUUGCUAAAUCCUGGGCCUACAGACAUUUGUGACAGGAUUCAGAGAAAGAAUCAUGAAAAAAGAAUAAAAAUGCAAAGGAAGAAAUCAGCUGAGGACAAGAGGAGAUAAUGAACCAAAUAAAUGCAUGGAGGUAUAAUACCAUACCUGGAAUGAAGCAUCCAGAGCUCUCUGCCAUGAAAUGUUCUGGAAAAAAAUCUGAAAGACCACAAGAUUUUAAGGGAAGAAAUUAAUUGAAGAGCAAUCAAAAAACAGAGUCAAGAUGCUAAAACCAGACAUGCCCAAACUAUGGAGAAAUUGGAUUCCAAGAGCUCUGAAAUAUGGGCCUUUAUGUAGUCAGAAAACAUUACAGAAAAUGAAAGUGAUAAAGAAAGAAAAGGGAAAAAGAAUCCUCCCUGGAUCUAAGAGAACUGGGAGAAGCAAUGAGAAAAGAGGAAAAUUCACUGACUAUAACUAAAAUUAUAAUCUUUUUCUGCCUGUCUUCCUAAUGAGAGUGUAAAAAAAUUGCUGCAUUUUUUUGCUUGCUAUGUGUGAUGCUUAGAUACAAAUCACCUAUGGGGUUGUGACUAGACUGCAGUGAAACUAAUGACGUGAGUCUGUAGACUUGGGAUGAGAAAAUAUUUAUAAAAAAAAGAUCAGCCUGGUGAAAGGAAUGUUAAAAUUAUUUUUAUUAUGAUAUUAUAACAUUUAUAUCUGUUCAUGUUAUUAUACUUUAGGAAUGUGUGUGGUUAUCACUAGGUAGAAGAAUCAUGAAUCAUUCAGCUUCCAAGGGACGUCCCUGGAGAACAGUCUCAAAUGCAGAUGUUUCAGAAUUCCCAAAUUACUUGCUAGAGUUGGAGGGACUGAUUCAAGGUCUUUCACAGAUGAGUUGUUAUGAGAUAUCCUGAAAUGGCAAUUAAAAUUGUUCUUCAGAGGUCAAUUGGUUACUCUGGUUUAAAACCAGGGUAGUCCAACAGACUGCAGUUAACCUGGGUUGAAAGGCAGGUGAAGGAACUGUUUUUUUAAAUAUGUGUCACUUUGAUGGCUAUCUAUCUCAUUUACUUACUGCAAAAGUUAGCACUGUUUUACUAGAAUGAUCAUUAUCACAAACUAUACUUUCUGCAUUUAGUGUGAAUGUAGAAAAAAAACUUGGUUGUCCUCAAGUAUGGUGAGGAUCCAAGUUCAGGAUAUUCAUACUCAUAGUCAUCAGCUCCCUUGGUUUCAUUUCAGUUAUAUUCUAUCCUAUCAAGGGAGGAAAAGAAUAUAGAGUUUUUCAGUUACCAAAUAGAUAUUCUUUCAUGUUAUUACAAAUCUUUCAGAUUUCAAAAAAAAAAAAAAAUUUUUUUUGCAAGAGCACAGAUGGUUUUCAGUUCUUCCAAAAAGAUGGCUUAAGAGGAAAGAUGCAACUUCUAUUGCUGACAAUAAAUGUUAAAAAGUUAACUGAUCUGAGUGUGGAAAUGAGAAGACAAAAUUUUCUUUUCAUUGAAUUGUGCUAAAUAAGCUAAGCACAUUCUACAUGAAACUACUAUCAAAACACAAUAGGCGAAAAUAUAAAAAUAUUUUUGCCACACUUAUUUUGGAGCCAGUAAGUGCCACAGUACCACUAGUGUGAGGAAGGGAGCCCGUAGGACAAUCAGUGAUCAUUCUUACUUCCUCAUUCCUUUGUUGCUGUUAUCCCUGUAAUGCUCCAUAAAAGCUGGCGGAAAUUUUGCUACAGAUUUUAAAUAGAAUGAAUAAAUAUCUUCAUGUUACAAUUAAGAAAUUUAUGUUGAAAUUUUGUAAGCUACAAGUUUACCUUCUAAAAUAUAAAACAUUCUGUUUAUCUUGUUCUGGAUCUGAACCUUCAUAUCUUACUCAGGCAAAAUUAAAAAUAAAUCAGCCAUUGUUGGUUAAAGAGGGGAUUUCUUUCAAAAGAUAUCUCACAGAAAUGUAUUUUUUCCCAUUGUGCAAAGACUAUGACACAUACGAGUAAGAAUAAAAACAUUAAAACUGUAUUGAUUCCUCUGAAUUUAUUUUUGCUACUUCAUUUAUAUUGGCUAAAUCUCAAUGAAAAGGAUAAGUUUUCUCAAAGAUUAUGUGAUUUAAAAAAAGAACUUCCAAUAAAUAUAAAUAGGUUAUGCUUUACAAAGGAUGCUAGAUAUUUUAUGUAUUUCCUGUAGAUUGGAAACAUAGGUUUGUAUUGAACGUUCCACAGCAAUUCACAACGUGUUUAAAUACCAUUACUACUGGGUUUAUUCCACCCUAUACCUAAUCCUUAACAAGAUCUCAGUACUCAGCAGAACAAAGUAGUGAGACCGUUUAACAAUUUAUCAAGGAGAUUUCCGCCACCUAGUGGAAAAUAUAUGAAUGACAUGAAUACAUACCUGAAUAUCUAAAAACCUUUGUUUCAAGACGAAGUAUGUAACUGCUCUAUCUAAACCAUUAGAAAAAUGUAUUUACUUCCAUAGUAUUUUUUAAUAAAAAAACUCUACU